UAAAUUGGUACGAGAAUCGUUUGUUUCCUUUUCUUUGAUCGUAGGUGUUUCUUAGCCAAGUUGCGUGUUAUAACAUCAAGAGGGUCAAUUUAGUUGAGACCCAUGUUUUCUCAGUAAAUAGAAUAAUUGGAUUAAGUGCAGAUUUUUGUACGUAAAAUUCAAGCUAAUGUAAUGAUUCAAUAGAGGAUUUAUAAUUCGUAGAAAUACACAAAUGAUAACAUGAUACAAUACUAUUACGCUUAUCGUAGAUUGUUUUCAUCCAAUCAUCGUUUAACGUUAACGAAUCAAGGUGUGAUAACAAAAAUGAAGAUAAUAUUUCAAGAAUAUUGCUAAAAGCUGCAUUUAUAAAAAAUUUGGG
rnacentral:misc_RNA from 1 species